rnacentral:rRNA from 1 species
CGGGUGAGUAACGCGUGGGUAACCUGCCUUAUACAGGGGGAUAACAGUCAGAAAUGGCUGCUAAUACCGCAUAAGCGCACAGGGCCGCAUGGUCCGGUGUGAAAAACUGAGGUGGUAUAAGAUGGACCCGCGUUGGAUUAGCCAGUUGGCAGGGUAACGGCCUACCAAAGCGACGAUCCAUAGCCGGCCUGAGAGGGUGAACGGCCACAUUGGGACUGAGACACGGCCCAG